GAUGAACGCUGGCGGCGUGCCUAAUACAUGCAAGUCGAGCGAACAGACGAGGAGCUUGCUCCUCUGACGUUAGCGGCGGACGGGUGAGUAACACGUGGAUAACCUACCUAUAAGACUGGGAUAACUUCGGGAAACCGGAGCUAAUACCGGACAAUAUAUUGAACCGCAUGGUUCAAUAGUGAAAGCCGGUUUUGCUGUCACUUAUAGAUGGAUCCGCGCCGCUUUAGCUAGUUGGUAAGGUAACGGCUUACCAAGGCAACGAUGCGUAGCCGACCUGAGAGGGUGAUCGGCCACACUGGAACUGAGACACGGUCCAGACUCCUACGGGAGGCAGCAGUAGGGAAUCUUCCGCAAUGGGCGAAAUCCUGACGGAGCAACGCCGCGGGAGUGAUGAAGGUCUUCGGAUCGUAAAACUCUGUUAUUAGGGAAGAACAAAUUUGUAAGUAACUAUGCACGUCUUGACGGUACCUAAUCAGAAAGCCACGGCUAACUACGUG
rnacentral:rRNA from 1 species